AGCAGUAGCCACGGUAAUACGAAGGGUGCAAGCGUUAAUCGGAAUUACUGGGCGUAAAGCGCGCGUAGGUGGUUUGGUAAGAUGGAUGUGAAAUCCCCGGGCUCAACCUGGGAACUGCAUCCAUAACUGCCUGACUAGAGUACGGUAGAGGGUGGUGGAAUUUCCUGUGUAGCGGUGAAAUGCGUAGAUAUAGGAAGGAACACCAGUGGCGAAGGCGACCACCUGGACUGAUACUGACACUGAGGUGCGAAAGCGUGGGGAGCAAACAGGAUUAGAUACCCCCGUAGUCCCUGUCUCUUAUAC
rnacentral:rRNA from 1 species